AGUGAACGCUGGCGGUAGGCCUAACACAUGCAAGUCGAACGGCAGCACAGUAAGAGCUUGCUCUUACGGGUGGCGAGUGGCGGACGGGUGAGGAAUACAUCGGAAUCUACUUUUUCGUGGGGGAUAACGUAGGGAAACUUACGCUAAUACCGCAUACGACCUACGGGUGAAAGCAGGGGAUCUUCGGACCUUGCGCGAUUGAAUGAGCCGAUGUCGGAUUAGCUAGUUGGCGGGGUAAAGGCCCACCAAGGCGACGAUCCGUAGCUGGUCUGAGAGGAUGAUCAGCCACACUGGAACUGAGACAGGGUCCAGACUACUGCGGGAGGCAGCAGUGGGGAAUAUUGGACAAUGGGCGCAAGCCUGAUCCAGCCAUACCGCGUGGGUGAAGAAGGCCUUCGGGUUGUAAAGCCCUUUUGUUGGGAAAGAAAAGCAGCAGGUUAAUACCCCGCUGUUCUGACGGUACCCAAAGAAUAAGCACCGGCUAACUUCGUG
rnacentral:rRNA from 1 species